AGUGAACGCUGGCGGUAGGCCUAACACAUGCAAGUCGAACGGCAGCACAGUAAGAGCUUGCUCUUACGGGUGGCGAGUGGCGGACGGGUGAGGAAUACAUCGGAAUCUACUUUUUCGUGGGGGAUAACGUAGGGAAACUUACGCUAAUACCGCAUACGACCUACGGGUGAAAGCAGGGGAUCUUCGGACCUUGCGCGAUUGAAUGAGCCGAUGUCGGAUUAGCUAGUUGGCGGGGUAAAGGCCCACCAAGGCGACGAUCCGUAGCUGGUCUGAGAGGAUGAUCAGCCACACUGGAACUGAGACACGGUCCAGACUCCUACGGGAGGCAGCAGUGGGGAAUAUUGGACAAUGGGCGCAAGCCUGAUCCAGCCAUACCGCGUGGGUGAAGAAGGCCUUCGGGUUGUAAAGCCCUUUUGUUGGGAAAGAAAAGCAGUAGGUUAAUACCCCGCUGUUCUGACGGUACCCAAAGAAUAAGCACCGGCUAACUUCG
rnacentral:rRNA from 1 species